rnacentral:tRNA from 1 species
CCCCUCUUAGCUCAGCUGGAAGAGCGGGGCACUGUAGAAGUACUGU